GCCGGCAUAGCUCAAUUGGUAGAGCAGCUGAUUUGUAAUCAGCAGGUUGGGGGUUCAAGUCCCUCUGCCGGCU
rnacentral:tRNA from 1 species